CUCGGAUCAGGUAGGGAUA
rnacentral:rRNA from 1 species